rnacentral:rRNA from 1 species
GAUGAACGCUGGCGGCGUGCCCAAUACAUGCAAGUCGAGCGAAUGGAUUAAGAGCUUGCUCUUAUGAAGUUAGCGGCGGACGGGUGAGUAACACGUGGGUAACCUGCCCAUAAGACUGGGAUAACUCCGGGAAACCGGGGCUAAUACCGGAUAACAUUUUGAACCGCAUGGUUCGAAAUUGAAAGGCGGCUUCGGCUGUCACUUAUGGAUGGACCCGCGUCGCAUUAGCUAGUUGGUGAGGUAACGGCUCACCAAGGCAACGAUGCGUAGCCGACCUGAGAGGGUGAUCGGCCACACUGGGACCGAGACACGGCCCAGACUCCUACGGGAGGCAGCAGUAGGGAAUCUUCCGCAAUGGACGAAGGCCUGACGGAGCAACGCCGCGUGAGUGAUGAAGGCUUUCGGGUCGUAAAACUCUGUUGUUAGGGAAGAACAAGUGCUAGUUGAAUAAGCUGGCACCUUGACGGUACCUAACCAGAAAGCCACGGCUAACUACGUGCCAGCAGCCGCCGUAA